rnacentral:rRNA from 1 species
UACGUAGGGUGCGAGCGUUAAUCGGAGUUACUGGGCGUAAAGCGUGCGCAGGCGGUUCGUUGUGUCGGUGGUGAAAGCCCCGGGCUUAACCUGGGAAUGGCCAUGGAAACUGGCGAACUGGAGUGUGGCAGAGGGGGGUGGAAUUCCGCGUGUAGCAGUGAAAUGCGUAGAGAUGCGGAGGAACACCGAUGGCGAAGGCAGCCCCCUGGGCUAGCACUGACGCUCAGGCACGAAAGCGUGGGGAGCAAACAGG